UGGGGAAUAUUGGACAAUGGGCGAAAGCCUGAUCCAGCCAUGCCGCGUGUGUGAAGAAGGCCUUUUGGUUGUAAAGCACUUUAAGCGAGGAGGAGGCUACUUAGAUUAAUACUCUAGGAUAGGGGACGUUACUCGCAGAAUAAGCACCGGCUAACUCUGUGCCAGCAGCCGCGGUAAUACAGAGGGUGCGAGCGUUAAUCGGAUUUACUGGGCGUAAAGCGUGCGUAGGCGGCUUUUUAAGUCGGAUGUGAAAUCCCUGAGCUUAACUUAGGAAUUGCAUUCGAUACUGGGAAGCUAGAGUAUGGGAGAGGAUGGUAGAAUUCCAGGUGUAGCGGUGAAAUGCGUAGAGAUCUGGAGGAAUACCGAUGGCGAAGGCAGCCAUCUGGCCUAAUACUGACGCUGAGGUACGAAAGCAUGGGGAGCAAACAGG
rnacentral:rRNA from 1 species